CAAGUAGGCGGAAUAAUUAGUCAGGUGUUAAAGGCGUCGGCUCAACCGGCGUAUGGCAUUUGAUACUGUUAUUCUAGAGUAAGGUGGGGGAAGACGGAAUUCCUGGUGUAGCGGUGGAAUGCGGAGAUAUCAGGAAGAACACCGGUGGCGAAGGCGGUCUUCUAUACCAUUACUGACGCUCAAUUGCGAAGGUGUGGGUAUCGAACA
rnacentral:rRNA from 1 species